rnacentral:rRNA from 1 species
UACAGAGGUCUCAACCGUUGUUCGGAUUCAUUGGGCGUAAAGGGUGCGUAGGCGGUCGCGUAAGUCAGAUGUGAAAUCUCAGGGCUCAACCCUGAAACUGCAUUCGAUACUGCGUGGCUAGGGUACUGGAGAGGAGACUGGAAUUUACGGUGUAGCAGUGAAAUGCGUAGAUAUCGUAAGGAAGACCAGUGGCGAAGGCGAGUCUCUGGACAGUUACCGACGCUGAGGCACGAAGGUCAGGGGAGCAAACGGG